rnacentral:rRNA from 1 species
UACGUAGGGUGCAAGCGUUAAUCGGAAUUACUGGGCGUAAAGCGUGCGCAGGCGGUUUUGUAAGACAGGUGUGAAAUCCCCGGGCUUAACCUGGGAACUGCGCUUGUUACUGGCAGGCUUGAGUGUGGCAGAGGGGGGUGGAAUUCCACGUGUAGCAGUGAAAUGCGUAGAGAUGUGGAGGAACACCGAUGGCGAAGGCAGCCCCCUGGGCUAAUACUGACGCUCAUGCACGAAAGCGUGGGGAGCAAACAGG